rnacentral:rRNA from 1 species
UACGUAGGGGGCAAGCGUUGUCCGGAUUUAUUGGGCGUAAAGAGCGUGUAGGCGGCCACACAGGUCUGCUGUGAAAACUCGAGGCUCAACCUCGAGCUGUCGGUGGAAACCGUGUGGCUAGAGUCCGGAAGAGGAGAAUGGAAUUCCCGGUGUAGCGGUGAAAUGCGCAGAUAUCGGGAGGAACACCGGUGGCGAAGGCGGUUCUCUGGGCCUUACCUGACGCUGAGGAGCGAAAGCGUGGGGAGCGAACAGG